rnacentral:rRNA from 1 species
GUGUCAGCCGCCGCGGUAACACCAGCCCCUCGAGUGGUGGGGACGUUUAUUUGGCCUAAAGCGUCCGUAGCCGGCCGGGUAAGUCUCCCGUUAAAUCCAGCGUCUCAAGCGUUGGGCUGCGGGAGAUACUGUCCGGCUAGAGAGUGGGAGAGGUCAGCGGUAUUCCUGGGGUAGGGGCGAAAUCCUUUGAUCCCAGGAGGACCACCAGUGGCGAAGGCUGCUGACUAGAACACGUCUGACGGUCAGGGACGAAAGCUGGGGUAGCGAACCGGAUUAGAUACCCGGGUAGUCCUGGCCGUAAACGAUGUGGACUAAGUGUUAGGGCGGCCACGAGCCACCCUAGUGCUGAAGGGAAGCCGUUAAGUCCACCGCCUGGGGAGUACGGCCGCAAGGCUGAAACUUAAAUGAAUUGGCGGGG